rnacentral:rRNA from 1 species
ACCAGCUAUUGCCCUAACAUACGGCGAGUGAACAGGCAAGAGCUCAGAUUUGAAAGGCACUUUUGUGCCGUUGUAUUCUGAAGUUAGGGUCCUGAGAAACGAUGCUUAAGUCUUCUGGAAAGGAGCGCCAUGGAGGGUGAUAGCCCCGUCUAGCAUUGACCUCAUAUAGGAUCUUAACAUGGAGUCGAGUUGUUUGGGAAUGCAGCUCAAAUGGGUGGUAUGCUCCAUCUAAAGCUAAAUAUCUGCGAGAGACCGAUAGUAAACAAGUACUGUGAGGGAAAGAUGAAAAGAACUUUGAAAAGAGAGUGAAAAAGUACGUGAAAUUGUUGAAAUGGAAGGGUAGGCCGCUAACCAUGUAGAGCCGUGUUUGGGGGGAAGAUAAAUGCUGUAGAAUGUAGCUCCUCGGAGUAUUAUAGAUGCAGUUCAUAUUCCCACCCGAGCGCGAGGAUCUCAGGUUCUACUAAAUGGUGGUCUACCACCCGUCUUGAAC